rnacentral:rRNA from 1 species
AAGCUGACGGAUCACGCCGCGUGAGUGAUGAAGGUUUUCGGAUCGUAAAACUCUGUUGUUAGGGAAGAACAAUGCAUAGUAACUGAUGGCACCUUGACGGUACCUAACCAGAAAGCCACGGCUAACUACGUGCCAGCAGCCGCGGUAAUACGUAGGUGGCAAGCGUUGUCCGGAAUUAUUGGGCGUAAAGCGCUCGCAGGCGGUUCUUUAAGUCUGAUGUGAAAUCUUACGGCUCAACCGUAAACGUGCAUUGGAAACUGGGGAACUUGAGUGCAGAAGAGGAGAGUGGAAUUCCACGUGUAGCGGUGAAAUGCGUAGAGAUGUGGAGGAACACCAGUGGCGAAGGCGACUCUCUGGUCUGUAACUGACGCUGAGGAGCGAAAGCGUGGGGAGCGAACAGGAUUAGAUACCCUGGUAGUCCACGCCGUAAACGAUGAGUGCUAGGUGUCAGGGGGUUUCCGCCCCUUUAGUGCUGAAGUUAACGCAUCAAGCACUCCGCCUGGGGAGUACGGC